rnacentral:rRNA from 1 species
AAGUCGUAACAAGGUUUCCGUAGGUGAACCUGCGGAAGGAUCAUUAAUGAUUUUUAAAGCGAGUCGAGCGUUAAGCGAGGCUUUGCGAAAUAUUUAAAACCCCACUCUUUUUAACUUUAAAUAAUAAAUCAUGACGCAUGAAUUUAAAAAAAGAUCACUUUCAACAACGGAUCUCUUGGCUCUCGCACCGAUGAAGAACGCAGCGAAAUGCGAUAAGUAGUGUGAAUUGCAUAAUUUUGUGAAUCAUCGAAUCUUUGAACGCAAAUUGCACUCCCUGGUAUUCCGGGGAGUAUGCCUGUUUGAGGGUCGUUAGAACAAAAAUCGAAGCGUCGCUCUUUUUUUUAAGGGUGAUCGCGUCGGAAUUGAGCCGUCUUUCAAAUGUUAAUGCAUGUCAAAGUGGCUUAAAAUUCAUCCAUCCGGUACGAUUAAAGCGUAUUUAAGAUCAAUUUUGAUUAAGAACGCGCGAUGAACGUACCAUCUCAUGUAGUACGUUUGACCUGGGUCGUCAGGUUCACUCGUAUACGAUACUCAAACUUUUGACCUCAAAUCAGGUAAGAAUACCCGCUGAACUUA